rnacentral:lncRNA from 1 species
CCUGACAGGCAUCAGGUCUGAGUGCCGGCGCUCAGCAGAAAUUCCUCCCAGGGGUCCCUGAGGAAAGUUGAAAGCCUUGGUAGCUUGCAUUAGCUGUCUAAUUCUGUGCAAUCUUGACAUUGGGAUGUGGAAAUGGAAUGCAGCCUGUGUUUUGAUGAAUGCUUUGAUACAAGCCUCGGCCACCCCAAGUGAGCAUGCCGGAUCUUGACCCUAAAACACUCACACAUCAGUUUAUGUAAACACGUGCCCAGGGUCGAAAAUGCCUGGAUAAGGCAAAUCAUUUAUGGUUCUCUUUGAUUAUUUUCCCUGUUCCCUGUUUUUCCAAACUUCAUUUCUUUUGAUAUUUCUUGACUUUUUAAAAUAUGUAUAGUUGCUUGCAUAUAAAAUUACUCACUACGUACUGAGUAACCUGCCUCCUACUUUUUUAAAUUUAUUUUUUAUUUGUUUUAAAGGCAGAGUUACAGAGAGAGGGGGCAAGACAGAUAGAGGUCGCUCUCCCAUCUACUUAUUCGCUCCCCAUAUAGACUCAAUGGCCCAGGCUGGGCCAGGCUGAAGCCAGGAUCCUGGAGCUUCUUCUGGGUCUCCCAUGUGAGUGCAGGAGCCCAAGCACUUGGUCCAUCUUCUGCUGCUCUCCCAGGAAUAUUAGCAAGGAGAUGGAUCUGAAGUGGAGCAGUCAGGUCAAAAACCAGUGCCUACAUGGGACACUGGUGUCACAGGCAGAGGCUUAACAUGUUAUACCACAAUGUCCGGCCCUCUUUCUCCUACUUUCAACGUAUUAUGUGUUCACAUGUUACUGGGAAUGUAUUUGGCCGUGAUCAUCAUAACUUUAUUAUUUUUAUUUUUGACAGGGAUAUAUAACACAGAUAUCACUAUUUAAUUCAGCUUCAGCUUCAAGAAUGAGCUAUAAGAAUCUGAGGGAAUUUUUAAAACUGAUCAUGUGUUAAGUCCAAGAACAUCUGUACAAUCCACUUUAAAAGGAAAUACUGAAUGAUGUAGGUAUGUAGAAGCACUUUAUAAAAUAUUUUCAUCAGGGUUUAUUUUU